GACGAACGCUGGCGGCGCGCCUAACACAUGCAAGUCGAACGAGCGAGAGAGAGCUUGCUUUCUCGAGCGAGUGGCGAACGGGUGAGUAACGCGUGAGGAACCUGCCUCAAAGAGGGGGACAACAGUUGGAAACGACUGCUAAUACCGCAUAAGCCCACGGGUCGGCAUCGACCAGAGGGAAAAGGAGCAAUCCGCUUUGAGAUGGCCUCGCGUCCGAUUAGCUAGUUGGUGAGGUAACGGCCCACCAAGGCGACGAUCGGUAGCCGGACUGAGAGGUUGAACGGCCACAUUGGGACUGAGACACGGCCCAGACUCCUACGGGAGGCAGCAGUGGGGAAUAUUGCACAAUGGGGGAAACCCUGAUGCAGCGACGCCGCGUGGAGGAAGAAGGUCUUCGGAUUGUAAACUCCUGUUGUUGGGGAAGAUAAUGACGGUACCCAACAAGGAAGUGACGGCUAACUACGUGCCAGCAGCCGCGGUAAAACGUAGGUCACAAGCGUUGUCCGGAAUUACUGGGUGUAAAGGGAGCGCAGGCGGGAAGACAAGUUGGAAGUGAAAUCUAUGGGCUCAACCCAUAAACUGCUUUCAAAACUGUUUUUCUUGAGUAGUGCAGAGGUAGGCGGAAUUCCCGGUGUAGCGGUGGAAUGCGUAGAUAUCGGGAGGAACACCAGUGGCGAAGGCGGCCUACUGGGCACCAACUGACGCUGAGGCUCGAAAGUGUGGGUAGCAAACAGGAUUAGAUACCCUGGUAGUCCACACCGUAAACGAUGAUUACUAGGUGUUGGAGGAUUGACCCCUUCAGUGCCGCAGUUAACACAAUAAGUAAUCCACCUGGGGAGUACGACCCCAAGGUUGAAACUCAAAGGAAUUGACGGGGGCCCGCACAAGCAGUGGAGUAUGUGGUUUAAUUCGACGCAACGCGAAGAACCUUACCAAGUCUUGACAUCCCUUGACAGGCAUAGAAAUAUGUUUUCUCUUCGGAGCAAGGAGACAGGUGGUGCAUGGUUGUCGUCAGCUCGUGUCGUGAGAUGUUGGGUUAAGUCCCGCAACGAGCGCAACCCUUAUGGUCAGUUACUACGCAAGAGGACUCUGGCCAGACUGCCGUUGACAAAACGGAGGAAGGUGGGGAUGACGUCAAAUCAUCAUGCCCUUUAUGACUUGGGCUGCACACGUACUACAAUGGCGUUAAACAAAGAGAAGCGAGACCGCGAGGUGGAGCAAAACUCAGAAACAACGUCCCAGUUCGGACUGCAGGCUGCAACUCGCCUGCACGAAGUCGGAAUUGCUAGUAAUCGUGGAUCAGCAUGCCACGGUGAAUACGUUCCCGGGCCUU
rnacentral:rRNA from 1 species